rnacentral:rRNA from 1 species
UACGUAGGGGGCCAGCGUUGCUCGGAAUUACUGGGCGUAAAGGGUCCGUAGGCGGUGUGGCAAGUCGGGAGUGAAAUCUCUGGGCUUAACCCAGAGGCUGCUUCCGAAACUGCCGUGCUAGAGUGUGAGAGAGGCGAGUGGAAUUGCGGGUGUAGCGGUGAAAUGCGUAGAUAUGUGGAAGAACACCGGUGGUGAAGACGGUUUUCUGUGCUAAACCUGACGCUGAGGCGCGAAAGCUAGGGGAGCAAACAGG